rnacentral:rRNA from 1 species
GAUGAACGCUGGCGGCGUGCCUAAUACAUGCAAGUCGAACGAAACUUCUUUAUCACCGAGUGCUUGCGCUCACCGAUAAAGAGUUGAGUGGCGAACGGGUGAGUAACACGUUGGCAACCUGCCCAAAAGAGGGGGAUAACACUUGGAAACAGGUGCUAAUACCGCAUAACCAUAGUUACCGCAUGGUAACUAUGUAAAAGGUGGCUAUACUACCGCUUUUGGAUGGGCCCGCGGCGCAUUAGCUAGUUGGUAGGGUAAAGGCUUACCAAGGCAAUGAUGCGUAGCCGAAUUGAGAGGUUGAUCGGCCACAUUGGGACUGAGACACGGCCCAAACUCCUACGGGAGGCAGCAGUAGGGAAUCUUCCACAAUGGGCGAAAGCCUGAUGGAGCAACGCCGCGUGGGUGAAGAAGGUCUUCGGAUCGUAAAGCCCUGUUGUUAGAGAAGAAAGGGAGUGGGUGUAACUGUUCACGUUUCGACGGUAUCUAACCAGAAAGCCACGGCUAACUACGUG